UGGACCUUCAUCUCCAGGGCUUUUGUUUAUUGACCUUGUCAGCUGCUCCAGAGUUGAUUAUAUCCUUCCUUGGUGUGCUCAGCUCUAGUUUCCACACAUUAACUUUCAAGGGCCACAUUCUUGAAAGACAGGGGAUCAAGAUUAACUCUUCUCCUUCCUUCGAACGGGCAUUUUAAUGCUUUUUGAUUUGCCUCAAAGCCAACAGGAAUGCCGACAAGGUGCAGAACCGAUGUUUCAAGUAUGUAAAGAUUAAGUGAACAAACAGAUAACGAUAAAGGAAUUUCUAUCUUAGAACUAAAGAAAAAAGAAGCAAGAAAUGAAAAGAAUCUGAGAAUGAUCCACAUGGAAAUCUCUUAAUCCUCUUUCUUCCCAACCAAACAUGGGAAUAUGAAUUCAGACCUGAAGACAGUUCCUACUUCGUUUUUUGGCAGAGGUGGAGAACAGAAAAGAAAUGCUAGGUAAAAUGCAGAAGAAAAGGACUACAAUCUGAAAAAUGUUUCCAUUGUCCUCCCUUGUGGAAACCCAUCUACUGACUCAGAGCUGAGCCAAAUAGGGAAAGUUUUUAGUGGUUCAGGAAAAAUGAGUCACAACUCACAAACCAUCUUUUAUGCAGAGAAAUCUGAACGCGGUGUUUGUUUUGAAAAAAAAACUAUGGUACUUCACCGAGAUAAGAUGUGGAAACUAUUUCAACUUACAGGAUUCUAGGAACCCUUGUGAGCUGAAGGGCUGGUGUUCACAAUUCUAAUUUCUAGUUGUUAAGAAAUAAAACUUUCACAAUGGU